GGUCUGGUGGUCUAGUGGUAUGAUUCGCGCUUAGGGUUUACUCUGAGUUAAUUGCGCGAGGUCCGUAAGUAUUAUGAAUUCGAAAAUUCCUGAACCAGAACAAAUAACUAACAUAUAACAGCGGGUUCAAUCCCCGGCCAGACCC